GACGUCGUCUCACCGCGCCGCCCACGAGGAUCCGGCAUCGGCGGGCUCGUGGGGCUCUCCUCGUGGCACCGAUUUCGUUUUUGGGAGCGGCGCGCCGGGGCCACCGGAGAUGAGGAGAAGCUCCUCGCUUGGAUCCAGUGGUGCCUCAUUGUGCGGCCUCUCUGCAGCAGCAGUUGAAGAGCUCGUCCUAGAUGAUUCUCCCCCCAAGCAAAGCGAUAGUUUUGGUGCCAGGGAAAGCUCGCACGAGGUUUCUUGUCCGAGCAUUCUUCGUGGCGACGAAGAUAUGCUGUCUCAGACAAGCUCACCAUUAGCUGGUCGAGCGGCCAAUUCAGCAAAAUGUACUGGCAGGAACGAUUCCAUGGGACACCCCAAGGACCGCGGCACCUCAUCUGCUGGGGAUUCUCUGGAUGAAGGUUGCUCCACAAAGAAAGGAAGUAAACUCUCUGCAGAUGGUAAUGUCGAGCAGGGUUUGUUUGUUUUCGGUGAGUGCGCUAGUGCUCCGCAUAGGUGGUUCGCUGCAAGCACAGCGCAAAGCGAUGCCAACAAGUUGGAUUCAUCUGAUGAAGGGGAUGCGGCAUGCAGUUCUGAACGGCAAGACCUUUCAGCUCCUGAGGAUGGCAGAUGCGGCAACUUGGAGCCUUCACCUGGUUCAAGUAACAGGGAUGCUCCGCAUUUCAGACCUCAUGAAGUUCAUGAAACAGGAAAGGCCUCUAAUACUGCACCUUCUAGCAUUGCGUCUCAAGAUGACCUUCCCAAGGUUUGUUUGACAAAAUUGCCUGAUGUUAUGCAAACACAAAGCACCGUAGUAGCAGUGCCAGGGCUUGGUGAAUGGGGAUCUUUCGACGAGAAAUCGUUUGCUCUGCAUGACCACAAUGUAUCAUCUAAAGACAAGGGAGUGGUUAAGGCUAUGAGCAUGAAUAGAAGGGCAGUUAAACCAAAGAAAUUCUCCUCGGCCCGCCAGGUUUCUUCCUUGCGGACAGUUCAUGCAGCUGACAGUUUUUCUGGAAACGCGAUUCCAGAAUCAAACUUCAGUUUGCAGCAAUCUGGAAAGGUUGGCUUCAGGUUAGAGGACUCUGGUAUCCGUGUAGGUAACAGUCGCCCUGAGGAAGCUAAUGCUGCGCAAACAACAGAAAGUAGCCAUGACGGAACAAGGCUUACUUUUGCUGCAAACUUGGAAAGUUCUUGUCAUUCUGAGUUAGCAUUUGCUUCAUCAACUUCUGAUCAAAGUAAGUUGGUUUCACAAAGACGGCAGACCAAGAAAAGUUCUGAAGGAAUGCCUGUUAAUAAUUCUAAAUUUGUUCAAAGCCUUCCUACAUCUGCCAUUAGUCUUGCACACACAGAAGUAUCAGCAAGCCAGCCCAACACAGGUUUUGCGGCUCAAUGGACUGAAUACAGCAAAGCAGAACCUACAACAGUAACAUGUACAAAAACGGAAAAGUUUGGAUAUCAGGAAGAUUGUGAAACUUGGCGUAUAAGGGGGAACCAAGCUUAUGCUGCAGGACGGUUAACAAAGGCGGAGGAAUACUAUACUCAUGGGAUUAAUUCUGUUUCCCCAAAUGAAGCCUCACGGAAAGCAUUAAUGUUGUGCUACAGCAACCGUGCAGCUACCCGGAUAUCUCUCGGUAGGAUGAGAGAUGCACUCUCUGAUUGCCGGAAAGCUACUGAAAUUGAUUCUAGCUUUCUCAAGGCGCAAGUCAGAGCUGCCAACUGCCUACUUGCUCUUGGGGAUGUUGAAGAAGCACAAAAGGGUUUUGAAAUCUGUUUGAAGUCUAAUCACGUGGAAAGCUUGAAUCAUAAAAUCAUAGAAGAGGCUUCUGAUGGUCUACAAAAAGCUCAGAAAGUAUCUAGUUUUAUUCUUCAAUCCAAGGAAUAUCUUGUUAAAAAGGAAUUUGACAAGAUACCAAGCGCCUUACAAAUGAUCACGGAUGCUUUGUCCAUAUGCAUUCAUUCAGACAGCUUGAUGAAAAUGAAAGCAGAAGCCAUGUUACUGUUGCGGCGAUAUGAAGAAGUAAUUCGGUUUUGUGGAGAAACUCUGCAUCUGGCAGAGAGAAAUAGUGUGUCUAUGUGUCUUGAUGAGCAUCCAGAAAACAUUAACUUGGACAGUUGCUGUUCCUCUGUGAAAUUGUGGCGCUAUUAUCUCAUCACCAAGUCAUAUUUCUUCACGGGAAAGCUUGAAGAGGCUCAUCAAUUCUUAAAAAAGCAUGAGCAAGCAACACUUGUGGAAUACAAGUGCGGGGAGCAUUCUGAGCAAUCAAUUUCGUCACUUUCUAAGACAAUCUCUGAACUACUGCGCCUAAAAGUUGCUGGGAACGAAGCUUUCCAAGCUGGUAAAUAUUCAGAGGCUGUGGAACAUUAUAGUGCUGCUUUGUUAAGCAGUACCGAGUCACUACAUUUUUCAGCAAUCUGCUUUGGCAACCGUGCAGCUGCAUACCAAGCAAUGGGCCAUAUUUUAGAUGCCAUAGCAGAUUGUUCGCUAGCUAUAGCCCUGGACACUAGUUAUUGUAAGGUCAUUUCUAGAAGAGCUAGUUUGUAUGAACUUAUAAGAGAUUACAGUCAGGCCGAAAAUGAUCUUCGCAGACUGAUUUCUCUUCUUGAGGAACAACUACAAGAAAAUAUGUCCACGCCAUCAGAAAAGUUAGAUAAUGUUCGUAACAAUCUACAUCGAGCCAAUAUUAGGCUUUCUGCUUUGGAGCGUGAUGCCAGAAAAAGGAACACAUUGAAUAUAUAUUUGAUAUUAGGAAUUGAACCAGCUUGCUCUGCUGCGGGUAUAAAAAAAGCAUACCGCAAAGCAGCACUAAGGCAUCAUCCAGAUAAAGCCGGUAAUUUGCUUGUGAGAAGUGAAAAUAUCGAUGAUACAGCAUGGGCAGAAAUUGCUAAUAUGAUCCGCAGUGAUGCUGAUUAUUUAUUCAAAAUAAUUGGGAAAGCAUAUGCUAUACUUUCGGACCCUACAAUGAGAAAUUAAUACUGAAGUAUCAAUCAAUUAACUUCAGAAAUAUGAACUUUGAAGCCAAAAUUGAAAUUAUUUGUGGACUCAAGAGUUGUGUAUUGUUUUCUUGGGUGGGAAGCCGGACCUGAAAGUGAAAUUAGAAAAAGACAGCGUAAACUUUAAGACAAGGUUAUGGAGUAAGGUUUUUUUGGAGAAGAGGAAUAGUAAGUCGAAACUGCACGAAGUUGUAGGACCAUCCUGAAUCUUUCAUCUACAAAAUUUUGCUAAGAUGUUAGUAUGAUUUUUAAUGGGACCUGAAUACGGUAGUUCUUAGAGGCAUUAACAUAUUUAACUUUUGAUUUAUAAUGAUGGUUUAGCUUGAGUUUUAAAUUGUUUCAGUACUCUUUUAAUCUAAAAUACUUUCCUUGAUUUCUUUAAUUCGUCAUCUAUGAAGUCUUGUUUCUGUUUGUUCAAUUUCGAAGCAACAAUGAUACCUGCUGUUUUGUAACUGUGGUGCCUGAUACAUAUCAUACAGAAGAGCAAAUGAUAGAGCCUGACACAUGGAUAAAUAGUACACGCAGUGCAGUGAACAUGACGCAACACUUGAAGGAAUCAAAUUGAUGAUACGAUUUGUUGUUAAAAAAGAGAAGUGCUGAUAGGAUUUGUUGUAAAAAAAAUGUGAUGAUAGGAUUUUUUGAUAAUCAUGAAGUGGUGAAAUGUUGAAACAUAAUGGGGAGGAUCUACAAGAUGCUGGAUGCUCUAAAACGGGAGGCUGGUGAACUUGUUGACGCUGAAUCACCAACCUGAGUUUUGGCAUGCCCCGUGCUCCCAUGGCGGCGCUUAGACUGCAUGAGUACCAUCAACCCAGGAAGUUGUGGAUCUGGGUCUUCAUGGCUAACAACUGAUGUGAAAGUUUUGCUGUUUGCCAAGUUUUCAGUUUGGUGUGCAGAGUGUAUACUAUACCGGGGUACCUUUCCCCAAUGGUCUUUUUCUGUAAAGACGAUGUGCAUAUGUAUCUGAAGUUGUGCAUAGUUUGUUGAAGCAGCUGGAAAUGGAAAUGAAACCAGUAACAGAGAAACAAUGUAAAUACACAUGAGGUGUGUGGGGCUGAAGCACGAUUUGUUUGGUUUUAUAUAGUACAAAUUUUGCAAGAGAGGGCGGGAUUAUUUUUUCUCUUUCGGGUUCUGUAUGUAAAACUAGACCAAUGAGUGAUUCUUUUGUUGAAACAAACAAAUAAGUUGGCAUGCAUGAAUACUGUAAAUUUUGCGGUUGUUGGCCUGUUAUGCUGCUGAUUUGGUCUGUUCCAAGUUGUAAAGAAUGUAUUAUAACUUGUACGGUGUUCCCUUUUUACA